GAUGAACGCUGGCGGCGUGCCUAACACAUGCAAGUCGAACGGAGAUUCCGGACGGAAGUUUUCGGAUGGAAGACUGUAAUUCUUAGUGGCGGACGGGUGAGUAACGCGUGGGCAACCUGCCCUAUACAGGGGGAUAGCAGCUGGAAACGGCUGGUAAGACCGCAUAAGUCGGCGAGACCGCAUGGUUUUGCCGGGAAAUGAGCAAUCAGGUAUAGGAUGGGCCCGCGUCCGAUUAGCCAGUUGGCAGGGUAAAAGCCUACCAAAGCAACGAUCGGUAGCCGGACUGAGAGGUCGGACGGCCACAUUGGGACUGAGACACGGCCCAAACUCCUACGGGAGGCAGCAGUGGGGGAUAUUGCACAAUGGAGGAAACUCUGAUGCAGCGACGCCGCGUGAGUGAAGAAGUAUUUCGGUACGUAAAGCUCUAUCAGCAGGGAAGAUGAUGACGGUACCUGACUAAGAAGCCCCGGCUAACUACGUG
rnacentral:rRNA from 1 species